UCUUCCGCUGCCCCGGAAACGCCGGCGACAGCAGGAUAGACCGACCCCGGUGUUGCAAAGCAGGUGGAACUGAUUUGUCAGCCAAAGAGUAAGAAAUAGGUGUCCACAGGUGUCAACUUGGAGCAUCCAUCAGUGCCGCCUGACAGGCAUCAGCUCAGCAUCAGUUACGCUGGACAAGCUCAAUCCCUUAGAUUUGAAUGGCCAAGGCAGCCAGAAGUACACAGCGAAGCCUAUCAAAGGUUCAGUGAUGCCUGUGAAGAAAAAGAGGAAGCUCCCUGAUGCAGAUGAUCAUGAGCGCAAAUGUAAAAUUACGAGGUAAAUGGACUCAAUAGGCCCAGG